rnacentral:rRNA from 1 species
AACGCGAAGAACCUUACCUACUCUUGACAUCCAGAGAACUUUCCAGAGAUGGAUUGGUGCCUUCGGGAACUCUGAGACAGGUGCUGCAUGGCUGUCGUCAGCUCGUGUUGUGAAAUGUUGGGUUAAGUCCCGCAACGAGCGCAACCCUUGUCAUUAGUUGCUACGAAAGGGCACUCUAAUGAGACUGCCGGUGACAAACCGGAGGAAGGUGGGGAUGACGUCAGGUCAUCAUGGCCCUUAUGGGUAGGGCUACACACGUCAUACAAUGGCCGGGACAGAGGGCUGCCAACCCGCGAGGGGGAGCUAAUCCCAGAAACCCGAUCGUAGUCCGGAUCGUAGUCUGCAACUCGACUGCGUGAAGUCGGAAUCGCUAGUAAUCGCGGAUCAGCUUGCCGCGGUGAAUACGUUCCCGGGCCUUGUACACACCG